rfam:Drosophila busckii chromosome X sequence.
GCGCCGGUGGUGUACUGGCCAGCAUGGUUGUAUCCCAAACAGCAGAUCCGGGUUCGAUUCCCGGCCGGCGCA